UGUAAGCCAGGUCGGUUUCUAUCUUUAUUAAAUUAAAAUAUUUUAGUACGAAAGGACCAAAUAUUUAAUAUAGUACAUAUUUUGAAUUUUUGAAUAUUAUU
rnacentral:rRNA from 1 species